CUAAGCCCUAUGAUGAAAACCAAUGCCCAGGUCGGGAGACCUUUUAUUUCAGGUUAAAUUCCACAGCAGACCUGGACUAUGAUGCCUUCAUAGAAGCAAAGUGUUUUAGAUGUCACCCCCCUGGAAGAAGAAAAACAACAGGUAAGCAAAUCCUGCUUUACAGAUCUUAUUAGAAGCACGUUCAUAAAUAUGCUAAGUACUGUUACUUAAACUCUGUAGACAAGGAGAUUAGCACCUAAAUUGUGUGGAAUUACGCGUUACCAUUUGUCUACAAAUAGCUCUGGUGAGCAAGUACAUGUAAUUUGGGUGAGGGGUUGGGUUAGAACUCAUGGGAUAGUUUUGAUGAGUAGCUAAGAUAACUUGUCUGUGUGGGGGAUAAAAAAAUGGACACCAAAGUUAACCAGAUACAGGCAGAUAGACAGGAUAUCAUGCUGCUUGACUAUCACUUGGGUAUCAGUGCAGUUUGGUCACACACAUAAAUAAUCAGAUUGCAAUGACCUUAUCAGCCAGACCACUAACGUGAUUAUGGAACAUACUGGGUCAUUGGUUGUUAAGAUUGUUAUACUACAUUAGUGUGGAUCUGCCAAACUCCUGAUAAUGGGCCCACAUAUACAGAUGAUCAUCCAGAUUC